rnacentral:rRNA from 1 species
AAUUUUGGACAAUGGGCGCAAGCCUGAUCCAGCCAUGCCGCGUGAGUGAAGAAGGCCUUCGGGUUGUAAAGCUCUUUCGGACGGGAAGAAAUCGCGCAGGCUAAUACCCUUCGCGGAUGACGGUACCGCCACAAGAAGCCCCGCCCAACCACCUGCCAGCAGCCGCGGUAAUACGUAGUGUGCGGGCGUUAAUCGGAAUUACGGGGCGUGAUGCGUGCGCAGGCGGUUGAUGAAGACAAGCGUGGAAUCCCCGGGCUUGACCUGGGAACUGGGCUUGUGACUGGUCAGCUAGAGUACGACAGAGGGGGGUGGAAUUCCACGUGUAGCAGUGGAAUGCGUAGAGAUGUGGAGGAACACCGAUGGCGAAGGCAGCCCCCUGGGCCGAUACUGACGCUCAUGCACGAGAGCGUGGGUAGCAAACAGA